rnacentral:rRNA from 1 species
CAGUAGCCACGGGAACACGUAGGGUGCAAGCGUUAAUCGGAAUUACUGGGCGUAAAGCGUGCGCAGGCGGUUUUGUAAGACAGAGGUGAAAUCCCCGGGCUCAACCUGGGAACUGCCUUUGUGACUGCAAGGCUAGAGUACGGCAGAGGGGGAUGGAAUUCCGCGUGUAGCAGUGAAAUGCGUAGAUAUGCGGAGGAACACCGAUGGCGAAGGCAAUCCCCUGGGCCUGUACUGACGCUCAUGCACGAAAGCGUGGGGAGCAAACAGGAUUAGAUACCCCGGUAGUCCCUGUCUCUUAUAA